rnacentral:snRNA from 1 species
AUCGCUUCUCGGCCUUUUGGCUAAGAUCAAGUGUAGUAUAUUAACAUGGUCUUUUAGGUAAACGUGAAUCAACAUAUACCCAACAGACAUCAAUUAGGAGAGAUUGAGGUUCCUGUUUCAAUGGAUGAAAUAUGCAUGUUUUUGAAAAAUUCUAAGUAAUGUUAAAAAUUA